rnacentral:snRNA from 1 species
ACACUCGUUUCUCUUCAGGUCGUAUGCAUCUUUUUCUUUUACUAAAGAUUUCUGUGGAAAGGAACAAUUCUGAGUUUUUGACCAAGUUCUUUGCUUUUGUUUUUGCUUGUU